CGCGGGGUGGAGAAGUAGUAUCUCGCAUGGCUCAUAACCAUGAGACCGCCGGUGCAAUUCCGGCCCCCGCCACCA
rnacentral:tRNA from 1 species